GCCUUUGUAGAUCAUCGUAGAUCGCCUCAACAGACUAAUACGCGUUUCAAGUCGAAUUUAUGGGGAGGUGGAGGUUCGAAUCCUCCCGAAGGCU